rnacentral:lncRNA from 1 species
GGGGGGAGAGACUCCGGACCCUGAAAGGGGACCAGAAUGGCGAGGCUGCUCAUUGGUUGUGAGGCACCAUGUGAACUACACUGGUUGGCUGGGGGAAGGGAGGAGGAGGCAGUUUCCCGGGUAACGGGAGGGCAAGGAGCGGCUGUAGUGGCAGCGCUGGGGCUGAGGAGCGCCGGUCCGAGUACAGAGCGAUACAGAGCAAGACUGGCUGGCGGCUGUGGCUUCGGAAGCCGGCGUGAGCACAGGUCCAGGUCUCUCCACAUGAAGGAAGAUGACAGCCGGGAGGGGAACCAUCACAGAGACAAACACUCGCAGGAGCCGUGA